rnacentral:rRNA from 1 species
UGGGGAAUAUUGCACAAUGGACGCAAGCCUGAUGCAGCAACGCCGCGUGAACGAUGAAGGUCUUCGGAUCGUAAAGUUCUGUUGCAGGGGAAGAUAAUGACGGUACCCUGUGAGGAAGCCCCGGCUAACUACGUGCCAGCAGCCGCGGUAAUACGUAGGGGGCUAGCGUUAUCCGGAUUUACUGGGCGUAAAGGGUGCGUAGGUGGUCUUUCAAGUCGGUGGUUAAAGGCUACGGCUCAACCGUAGUUAGCCUCCGAAACUGGAAGACUUGAGUGCAGGAGAGGAAAGUGGAAUUCCCAGUGUAGCGGUGAAAUGCGUAGAUAUUGGGAGGAACACCAGUAGCGAAGGCGACUUUCUGGACUGCAACUGACACUGAGGCACGAAAGCGUGGGUAGCAAACAGG